rnacentral:rRNA from 1 species
UACGGAGGGGGCUAGCGUUGUUCGGAAUUACUGGGCGUAAAGGGCGCGUAGGCGGGUGGACAAGUCUCUCGUGAAAGCCCACGGCUCAACCGUGGAAUUGCGGGAGAUACUGUCUGUCUUGAGUCCGGGAGAGGAUGGUGGAACUCCCAGUGUAGAGGUGAAAUUCGUAGAUAUUGGGAAGAACACCCGUGGCGAAGGCGGCCAUCUGGACCGGUACUGACGCUAAGGCGCGACAGCGUGGGGAGCAAACAGG